CUUUACUGCAACCUGGAAUUGAGUUUGGGUUUUUUUUGUGCAGUAUAGGUGGGAGAUUAUAAUUUUAUUUAUAAUUGUCAGUGAGAUACCACCCUUAAAAAGCUAGAAUUCUAAGAGCGUUCCUUGAAACAGGACGCUUAACAGUUCUUGGUGGGCAGUUUGACUGGGGCGGUCAUCUCUUAAAAGGUAACAGAGAUGUGCAAAGGUUCCUUCAGGCUGGGUGGAAAUCAGUUGUAGAGUGUAAAGGCAUAAGGGAGCUUGACUGUAAGACUUACAAGUCAAACAGAGGCGAAAGCCGGCCUUAGUGAUCCGACGGUACCGCGUGGAAGGGCCGUCGCUAAACGGAUAAAAGUUA
rnacentral:rRNA from 1 species